UGGGCCCUUCUUUCUCCUCCUCUCCCCCUCCCCCUCCAGCGCGACUCGCGCCCGGCUCUUCCCUCUCCCCUCCCCGGCGCGUCUUUCCCGGCCCGCCCGGUGCAUUGUGGGCUGACGUCUUGGGGUUUGACUGUCUAGUGACGGUGGCUGCCGCGAGCCAGGCGGACGCGGGCUCUCGCCGCCUCUGACCGAAGCGGGCUCAAGUUCAGGGCUCGGGCGGGAAGGCAGGAGAUGCAGGCACCCGGAAGGCUCGGGAACCCGGCCAGGUGUCUGCGGCCAAGGGCGCGGGGUGGAGGGAGGUGUUUCCCCACUUGGGGGGCUCGUUGUCCCCCACGGGCACUUCGCCUCGGUGCAGGGCUGGAGGCCGAGCGCCAGGCUCUGUGCCCCCCCGCACUUCCGGGGGGCGGGAGCACCGCCCUUAAGGUGGCUCUGUUAAGUCCCCUGUGGGGGCGAGUGAAAGUGGGCUUAAGUUGAGGGGCGGUCUCGAGACAGUGGGCCCCCCACGUUGAGGACGCUCCGAAGUUUGUCUCCCGGUCAAGUUCACAAGCGACGGACAGCGCUGCUGUCUGGCUGCGCCUAGAAACCAAGUGAUUUGUAUUGCUCCAAACUGGGCGCUCAGCUAAGUCCGCGUUGCACCCCCUAAUGCCCUCUCCAAACCAUGGGAAAAGGGGUGCGAGGGUUCACAGUUUUGCUUCGAUGGCGAAGUUUUUUUUAUAGGGGGUGGAAUUGGGGGGCAAUUCAGCUUCCAGUUGUGAACGAGCGUAUAGGGAAUCUGAAACUUGGGGAACCCCGGUGAUCGUCUACUACCCGCCCCCGCACAACAUGCCAGCACACUUUAGACACACUUUACACACACGCACACACGCACAGACACACACACACACCCUCCGGUCCUGAUUUGCUUACAGGAAAACGAGAACGUGAGACACUCAGCAAAAGUCACGCAACGAGUGAGCGAGUCAGGGAUAGGACCAGGAUUUAAAAUCUCGCCGCUCCCGGCCGGGUGGUGGGCCCAUAUCCUGGGUAGCCUCUAGGAAGCGCUAGACACAUGUUGUCAGCUUGGAUAUUUGCAUUCACAUCACAACUGGAGUAAAGAGGCAGAAAUGAAAAUAAGAACUGAAAUACAAGCAUCUGGCCUCCUUUGAAGACCUUUCUCUGUUAUCACCACAGUACUUGGCUCCUGAGGUGGCGCUGGCCAUGAAGGUACGGGCUGGACCUAUGGUGUGGACGAGCCUAUGGUCAGAGAAGCCUCUGUGCUCAGCAUCCAGAAGGGCCUCUGAGAUUUCAGACGGGCUCAACUAGUCUCCAAGACCAAAGGCCCUGGCUCCCUACUUGCACAGUGUCACCACAGCAGGUAGAAAGAAGUCCUCGGUGCCAUUGGAGAACGUUGGCCUCUGAGACGAGCAGUGGGGCCACCAGCCCUUUUAAGGGCUGACGAUUUUGAAUACCUGAAUGGUCUCGGGUUUUGCACUGGGCAGACAGAUUGACCAGACCUUCAGAAGUGGAAUGAAUGAUAAAGGUGAAGGUCUUUGCAACCUUA